AAUCAACGCUGGCGGCGUGCCUCAGACAUGCAAGUCGAACGCGAAAGUCCCCUUCGGGGGAUUAGUAGAGUGGCGUCCGGGUGAGUAACACGUAGGUAAUCUACCUUUGGGUGGGGAAUAACCCCGAGAAAUCGGGGCUAAUACCGCAUAAUGCAGCGGCAUCACAUGAUGACAGUUGUUAACGCGGGGGGAUCGCAAGACCUCGCGCCUAAAGAGGAGCCUGCGGCGGAUUAGCAGUUGGUAGGGUAAUGGCCUACCAAGGCAACGAUCCGUAGCCGGCCUGAGAGGGCGGUCGGCCACACUGACACUGAAAUACGGGUCA
rnacentral:rRNA from 1 species